GCAAACUUGGUCAUUUAGAGGAAGUAAAAGUCGUAACAAGGUUUCCGUAGGUGAACCUGCGGAAGGAUCAUUACCUGCCGUGGGGACGCUGUGCUUUGGCGCAGUGGGCCCCCUAUGCGGCCACCCGUGUUUACCUGACCGUCUGUUGCUUCGGCGGUGCCUUCCAGCUAUUCGCUUGGUACCGUGCCCGCCAGAGGACUACUGUAGAACCUGCACAACAUGAGUGAUCGUCUGAGUGGGUGAUAGAAUUAGUUAAAACUUUCAACAAUGGAUCUCUUGGUUCCGGCAUCGAUGAAGAACGCAGC
rnacentral:misc_RNA from 1 species